rnacentral:rRNA from 2 species
GGGUUGUGAGGUUAAGCGACUAAGCGUACACGGUGGAUGCCCUGGCAGUCAGAGGCGAUGAAGGACGUGCUAAUCUGCGAAAAGCGUCGGUAAGGUGAUAUGAACCGUUACAGCCGGCGAUGUCCGAAUGGGGAAACCCAGUGCAAUUCGUUGCACUAUCGUUAACUGAAUACAUAGGUUAACGAGGCGAACCGGGGGAACUGAAACAUCUAAGUACCCCGAGGAAAAGAAAUCAACCGAGAUUCCCCCAGUAGCGGCGAGCGAACGGGGAGCAGCCCAGAGUCUGAAUCAGCUUGUGUGUUAGUGGAACGGUCUGGAAAGUCCGACGGUACAGGGUGAUAGUCCCGUACACCAAAAUGCACAGGCUGUGAACUCGAAGAGUAGGGCGGGACACGUGGUAUCCUGUCUGAAUAUGGGGGGACCAUCCUCCAAGGCUAAAUACUCCUGACUGACCGAUAGUGAACCAGUACCGUGAGGGAAAGGCGAAAAGAACCCCGGCGAGGGGAGUGAAAAAGAACCUGAAACCGUGUACGUACAAGCAGUGGGAGCACCUUCGGGUGUGACUGCGUACCUUUUGUAUAAUGGGUCAGCGACUUAUAUUCUGUAGCAAGGUUAACCGUAUAGGGGAGCCGCAGGGAAACCGAGUCUUAACUGGGCGUUAAGUUGCAGGGUAUAGACCCGAAACCCGGUGAUCUAGCCAUGGGCAGGUUGAAGGUUGGGUAACACUAACUGGAGGACCGAACCGACUAAUGUUGAAAAAUUAGCGGAUGACUUGUGGCUGGGGGUGAAAGGCCAAUCAAACCGGGAGAUAGCUGGUUCUCCCCGAAAGCUAUUUAGGUAGCGCCUCGUGAAUUCAUCUUCGGGGGUAGAGCACUGUUUCGGCUAGGGGGUCAUCCCGACUUACCAACCCGAUGCAAACUACGAAUACCGAAGAAUGUUAUCACGGGAGACACACGGCGGGUGCUAACGUCCGUCGUGAAGAGGGAAACAACCCAGACCGCCAGCUAAGGUCCCAAAGUCAUGGUUAAGUGGGAAACGAUGUGGGAAGGCACAGACAGCCAGGAUGUUGGCUUAGAAGCAGCCAUCAUUUAAAGAAAGCGUAAUAGCUCACUGGUCGAGUCGGCCUGCGCGGAAGAUGUAACGGGGCUAAACCAUGCACCGAAGCUGCGGCAGCGACACUAUGUGUUGUUGGGUAGGGGAGCGUUCUGUAAGCCUGCGAAGGUGACCUGUGAGGGUUGCUGGAGGUAUCAGAAGUGCGAAUGCUGACAUAAGUAACGAUAAAGCGGGUGAAAAGCCCGCUCGCCGGAAGACCAAGGGUUCCUGUCCAACGUUAAUCGGGGCAGGGUGAGUCGACCCCUAAGGCGAGGCCGAAAGGCGUAGUCGAUGGGAAACAGGUUAAUAUUCCUGUACUUGGUGUUACUGCGAAGGGGGGACGGAGAAGGCUAUGUUAGCCGGGCGACGGUUGUCCCGGUUUAAGCAUGUAGGCUGGUUGUCCAGGCAAAUCCGGAUAAUCAAGGCUGAGGUGUGAUGACGAGGCACUACGGUGCUGAAGUAACAAAUGCCCUGCUUCCAGGAAAAGCCUCUAAGCAUCAGGUAACAUUAAAUCGUACCCCAAACCGACACAGGUGGUCAGGUAGAGAAUACCAAGGCGCUUGAGAGAACUCGGGUGAAGGAACUAGGCAAAAUGGUGCCGUAACUUCGGGAGAAGGCACGCUGGUGUGUAGGUGAAGUCCCUGCGGAUGGAGCUGAGACCAGUCGAAGAUACCAGCUGGCUGCAACUGUUUAUUAAAAACACAGCACUGUGCAAACACGAAAGUGGACGUAUACGGUGUGACGCCUGCCCGGUGCCGGAAGGUUAAUUGAUGGGGUUAUCCGUAAGGAGAAGCUCUUGAUCGAAGCCCCGGUAAACGGCGGCCGUAACUAUAACGGUCCUAAGGUAGCGAAAUUCCUUGUCGGGUAAGUUCCGACCUGCACGAAUGGCGUAAUGAUGGCCAGGCUGUCUCCACCCGAGACUCAGUGAAAUUGAACUCGCUGUGAAGAUGCAGUGUACCCGCGGCAAGACGGAAAGACCCCGUGAACCUUUACUAUAGCUUGACACUGAACAUUGAGCCUUGAUGUGUAGGAUAGGUGGGAGGCUUUGAAGCGUGGACGCCAGUCUGCGUGGAGCCAACCUUGAAAUACCACCCUUUAAUGUUUGAUGUUCUAACGUUGGCCCCUGACCGGGGUUGCGGACAGUGUCUGGUGGGUAGUUUGACUGGGGCGGUCUCCUCCCAAAGCGUAACGGAGGAGCACGAAGGUUAGCUAAUCCUGGUCGGACAUCAGGAGGUUAGUGCAAUGGCAUAAGCUAGCUUGACUGCGAGCGUGACGGCGCGAGCAGGUGCGAAAGCAGGUCAUAGUGAUCCGGUGGUUCUGAAUGGAAGGGCCAUCGCUCAACGGAUAAAAGGUACUCCGGGGAUAACAGGCUGAUACCGCCCAAGAGUUCAUAUCGACGGCGGUGUUUGGCACCUCGAUGUCGGCUCAUCACAUCCUGGGGCUGAAGUAGGUCCCAAGGGUAUGGCUGUUCGCCAUUUAAAGUGGUACGCGAGCUGGGUUUAGAACGUCGUGAGACAGUUCGGUCCCUAUCUGCCGUGGGCGCUGGAGAAUUGAGGGGGGCUGCUCCUAGUACGAGAGGACCGGAGUGGACGCAUCACUGGUGUUCGGGUUGUCAUGCCAAUGGCACUGCCCGGUAGCUAAAUGCGGAAGAGAUAAGUGCUGAAAGCAUCUAAGCACGAAACUUGCCCCGAGAUGAGUUCUCCCUGAGACUUUAAGUCUCCUGAAGGAACGUUAAAGACGAUGACGUUGAUAGGCCGGGUGUGUAAGCGCAGCGAUGCGUUGAGCUAACCGGUACUAAUGAACCGUGAGGCUUAACCUUACAACGCCGAAG